GUUUCAGGGCGGGGUGAGAUUCCCCACUGGCGGUAACUGGGAGGGCGCACGCCCCCAGAAGCCCGCGACCCGCGAAUACGCGGCUGACCCGGUGCGAGUCCGGGGCCAACGGUCAAAGUCCGGAUGGAAGAAA
rnacentral:ncRNA from 1 species